CGAUGAUCUCCCGCUUGCGGGAGUGAUUAGUGGCGAACGGGUGAGUAAUACGUGAGUAACCUGCCCUUGACUCUGGGAUAAGCCUGGGAAACCGGGUCUAAUACUGGAUACGACUCCUCAUCGCAUGGUGGGGGGUGGAAAGGGUUUGACUGGUUUUGGAUGGGCUCACGGCCUAUCAGCUUGUUGGUGGGGUAAUGGCUCACCAAGGCGACGACGGGUAGCCGGCCUGAGAGGGUGACCGGCCACACUGGGACUGAGACACGGCCCAGACUCCUACGGGAGGCAGCAGUGGGGAAUAUUGCACAAUGGGCGCAAGCCUGAUGCAGCGACGCCGCGUGAGGGAUGACGGCCUUCGGGUUGUAAACCUCUUUCAGCAGGGAAGAAGCCACAAGUGACGGUACCUGCAGAAGAAGCGCCGGCUAACUACGUGCCAGCAGCCGCGGUAAUACGUAGGGCGCAAGCGUUGUCCGGAAUUAUUGGGCGUAAAGAGCUCGUAGGCGGUUUGUCGCGUCUGCUGUGAAAGCCCGGGGCUCAACCCCGGGUCUGCAGUGGGUACGGGCAGACUAGAGUGCAGUAGGGGAGACUGGAAUUCCUGGUGUAGCGGUGAAAUGCGCAGAUAUCAGGAGGAACACCGAUGGCGAAGGCAGGUCUCUGGGCUGUUACUGACGCUGAGGAGCGAAAGCAUGGGGAGCGAACAGGAUUAGAUACCCUGGUAGUCCAUGCCGUAAACGUUGGGCACUAGGUGUGGGGGACAUUCCACGUUCUCCGCGCCGUAGCUAACGCAUUAAGUGCCCCGCCUGGGGAGUAC
rnacentral:rRNA from 1 species